rnacentral:rRNA from 1 species
CAGCAGGCGCGAAAAUUGUCCACUCUUUUGAGAGGAGACAGUUAUGAAACGUGAGUAGAAGGGUCGAGUGUAAAAACCUUGACGUGAAGCAAUUGGAGGGCAAGUUUUGGUGCCAGCAGCCGCGGUAAUUCCAACUCCAAGAGUGUCUAUGGUGGAUGCUGCAGUUAAAGGGUCCGUAGUCGUAGAUGCAAUUAAAAGGUGGUGUUAAAAGCCAUUGAGUUUGUUGAGAGUAGCGGAACGGAUAGGGAGCAUGGUAUAGGUAGGCAAAGAAUGAAAUCUCAAGACCCCACCUGGACCAACGGAGGCGAAAGCGAUGCUCUUAGACGUAUCUGGGGAUCAAGGACGAAGGCUAGAGUAUCGAAAGUGAUUAGACACCGCUGUAGUUCUAGCAGUAAACUAUGCCGACAAUGCUGGGUGUUGCGAGAGCGAUGCUUGGUGUGGGAGAAAUCUUAGUUUUCGGGCUCUGGGGAUAGUACGCUCGCAAGGGUGAAACUUAAAGCGAAAUUGACGGAAGGACACUACCAGGAGUGGAUUGUGCUGCUUAAUUUAACUCAACGCGGGAAAACUUACCAGGGUCAAGUCUAUCGUAGAUUGAGGACAUGAGGUAGACAAGAGUGGUGCAUGGCCGUUGGAAAUUGAUGGGGCGACUUUUAGCUUAAGUGCUGGAACCAGUGAGAUCUUCUAGACAGGUGUUAUUUAGGCACAGGAGGGAGAAGGCAAUAACAGGUCCGUGAUGCCCUUAGAUAUCCUGGGCAGCAAGCGCAAUACAAUAUCUCUU